rnacentral:rRNA from 1 species
AGCUCCAAUAGCGUAUAUUAAAGUUGUUGCAGUUAAAAAGCUCGUAGUUGGAUUUCUGGCUGGCUGCGCCUGGCCCGCCUGCGUUAGCAGUGUGAGUGCCGGUUUUGCGCGGUAGCCAUCCUUCUGGAGAUCGAGCCUGCCCUUCACUGGGUGGGGCUCGCGACCCAGAUCCUUUACUUUGAAAAAAUUAGAGUGUUUAAAGCAGGCAGUUGCUCUGAAUACAUUAGCAUGGAAUAAUAACAUAGGACUUUGGUUCUAUUUUGUUGGUUUCUAGGACUAAAGUAAUGAUUGAUAGGGAUAGUUGGGGGUGCUAGUAUUGAGCGGCCAGAGGUGAAAUUCUUGGAUUCGCUCAAGACUAACUUAUGCGAAAGCAUUCACCAAGGAUAUCUUCUUUAAUCAA